rnacentral:rRNA from 1 species
AACGAACGCUGGCGGCAGGCUUAACACACGCAAGUCGAACGCCCCGCAAGGGGAGUGGCAGACGGGUGAGUAACGCGUGGGAAUCUACACAUCUCUGCGGAAUAGCUCCGGGAAACUGGAAUUAAUACCGCAUACGCCCUACGGGGGAAAGAUUUAUCGGGGAUGGAUGAGCCCGCGUUGGAUUAGCUAGUUGGUGGGGUAAAGGCCUACCAAGGCGACGAUCCAUAGCUGGUCUGGGAGGAUGAUCAGCCACAUUGGGACUGAGACACGGCCCAAACACUUACGGGAGGCAGCAGUGGGGAAUAAUGGAAAAUGGGCGAAAGCCUGAACGAGCCAUGCGGCAUGAGUGAUGAAGGCCUUAGGGUUGUAAAGCUCUUUCACCGGUGAAGAUAAUGACGGUAACCGGAGAAGAAGCCCCGGCUAACUUCGUGCCAGCCGCAGCCGUAA